rnacentral:rRNA from 1 species
AUGAACGCUAGCGGCAGGCUUAUACAUGCAAGUCGUGGGGCAGCAUGACUGUAGCAAUACAGUUUGAUGGCGACCGGCAAAACGGGUGCGGAACACGUACACAACCGUCUUUUAAGUGGGGAAUAGCCCAGAGAAAUUUGGAUUAAUACCCCGUAACAUAAUGAAAAGGCAUCUUUUUUGUUAUGUAUAGCAGCAAUGCGCUUGAAGAUGGGUGUGCGGCUGAUUAGAUAGUUGGCGGGGUACACGGCCCACCAAGUCUGCGAUCAGUAACGGUGUGAGAGCACGACCAGUCACACGGGCACUGAGACACGGGCCCGCUCCUACGGGAGGCAGCAGUAAGGAAUAUUGGUCAAUGGACGCCAAGUCUGAACCAGCCAUGCCGCGUGAAGGAUGAAGGUCCUCUGGAUUGUAAACUUCUUUUAUUUGGGAAGAAAUCUACCUUUCUUGGGUAGGUUGACGGUACCAGAUGAAUAAGCACCGGCUAACUCCGUGCAAGCAGCCGCGGUAAUACGGAGGGUGCAAGCGUUAUCCGGAUUCACUGGGUUUAAAGGGUGCGUAGGUGGGCAAGUAGUCAGUGGUGAAAUCUUCCGUGCUUAACCCGGAAACUGCCAUUGAUACAUUUGUCUUGAAUAAUGUGGAGGUCAGCGGAAUAUGUCAUGUUAGCGGUGAAAGCUUAGAUAUGACGUAGAACACCAAUUGCGAAGGCGCUGGCUACACAAUAUUGACACUGAGGCACGAAAGCGUGGGGGAUCAAAAGGAUUAGAUACCCUGGUAGUCCCACGCCCUAAAAAACAUAUUGAUACUCGACAUUUGCGAUAAACUGCAAGUGUCUGAGCGAAAGCAUUAAGUAUCCCACCUGGGAAGUACGACCGCAAGGUUGUAAAACUCAAAGGAAUUGGCGGGGGUCCGCACAAGCGGUGGAGCAGGUGGUUUAAUUCGAUGAUACGCGAGGGACCUUACCUGGGCUAGAAUGCUGGGAGAACCGUGGGUGAAAGCUCACUUUGUAGCAAUACACUGCCAGUAAGGUGCUGCAUGGCUGUCGUCAAGCUCGUGCCGUGAGGUGUUGGGUUAAGUCCCGCCAACGAGCGCAACCCCCAUCACUAGUUGCCAUCAGGUAACGCUGGGAAUCUAGUGAAACUGCCGUCGUAAGACGUGAGGAAGGAGGGGAUGAUGUCAAGUCAUCAUGGCCUUUAUGCCCAGGGCUACACACGUGCUACAAUGGGGCGUACAAAAGGGCUGCAACAUAGUGAUAUGAAGCUAAUCCCAAAAAAACGCCCUCUCAGUUCAGAUUGGAGUCUGCAACUCGACUCCAUGAAGCUGAAUCGCUAGUAAUCGUAUAUCAGCAAUGAUACGGUGAAUACGUUCCCGGACCUUGCACACACCGCCCGUCAAGCCAUGGAAGCUGGGUGUACCUAAAGUCGGUAACCGUAAGGAGCCGCCUAGGGUAAAACUAGUGACUGGGGCU